CUUCAUGUCAGUAAAAGGAAGAGCAUAGUUUUGGAAGUUUAACUCCUCAUUUUAAAAACGAGAAGUUAACAUUUCAUUGCCCAAAGAAUAUGUGAAAAUUAUGUGAAGAAAUACUUGGCCUUUGCUAUGUGGAGCUGUGGCAGCCAGUCUGCACUGUCCUGAGAUAAACCAGGAAGGGAGUCCAGUGUCCCACCAAGUGACAGUUGAAUGAAAGAGCGUGGCGGGGGACUCCUGGUUCAGCACAAGAGCAGAGUCCAUCUUUUUGGAUCAUUAACCAAGGGACCCUCCUGUGGAUGUUCUCUUUCACUUCUGAAUUGGACACUCUCUGAAUCUUUAAGAUGCCAAAUACUGAGAGGGGGUUCAUCAUCUCGGUAAUUUCUCUAGAAAACAGCAAACUUGAAGUUGUUUACAAAUAUUAUCUCAAACCUUUUUUACAGUACAUCUGGAUAGCUGACUGCCUGUUUCACUUUAUUAUAGAUACCUAGAGAGAGCUAUACAUUUUUAUCUUAAGACCAAAUUCCAUAAUGAGAUUUGAAAGUUAUUGGAAGGUUACAAAUAAACAACAUAAAUUUUGGUGUUUUGGUUUUCUGUGAGGCCUACAUGAGAUCUUAAUCCUUACAAAAUUAGGGGGAAAAAUAGCUUACUAAAUUUCCUUUGGUAAAUACAGUGAAUGCAUUUCAGUUGCCUAUGGCUAUCAUUAGCUAAUUGUGAUUUUCCUGUUAUACAUUAUCCAGAGCUCUCCACAUGGAGCAAUUUUGUUAAGAGACUCCACCUAUACUACGAACCAGAGCAACUCCAUAGAAUGAGAUCAUCACCCAGGCUGCACUGUCACUCCAAAGCUGGGCCCAGAUCACAGGAUCAUCACCCUUGGUGUAGACCCACCCACUGCUUUCCUUCUUUGAAAGGGCUGGGAUUCUGACAGGGCCAGAAAAUUCUGGAAAACUAGCCUGGUGAUUUGAGUUUUAGUUUGUUUACAAAGUGCAUUGAAAUGUCCAAGUUCACUAAUCAUAGGCAAACUAAAUAUAACUAAUGAAUCAGAAUCAGCCUGUAGGAAAAUGAGUAAGGUUGUUAAUAUAGGUGUGUUCAACUUUCUUCAAAUGUGCUUAGUGAGCAACAGGUGGGUUUUGUUUAAUUUUCUUCAUUAAAAGACAGAACUAUUAUUUAUUUCAUUGACAUAACACUUCAGAAAAAAUUAACUUAGC
rnacentral:lncRNA from 1 species